UACGAAGGGGGCUAGCGUUGUUCGGAAUUACUGGGCGUAAAGCGCGCGCAGGCGGUUCUUCAAGUCAGUGGUGAAAGCCCGGAGCUCAACUCCGGAACUGCCAUUGAAACUGUAGAACUUGAGGAUGAGAGAGGUGAGUGGAAUUCCCAGUGUAGAGGUGAAAUUCGUAGAGUAUUGGGAAGAACACCGGUGGCGAAGGCGGCUCACUGGCUCAUUCUGACGCUCAGGCGCGACAGCGUGGGAUCAAAC
rnacentral:rRNA from 1 species